GAUUCAUGAUAACUUCUCGAAUCGCAUGGCCUUGCGCCGGCGAUGGUUCAUUCAAAUUUCUUCCCUAUCAACUUUCGAUGUUUGGGUAGUGGCCAAACAUGGUUACAACGGGUAACGGAGGGUUAGGGCUCGACCCCGGAGAAGGAGCCUGAGAAACGGCUACUACAUCCAAGGAAGGCAGCAGGCGCGCAAAUUACCCAAUCCCGAUUCGGGGAGGUAGUGACAAUAAAUACUGAUACAGGGCUCUUUUGGGUCUUGUAAUUGGAAUGAGUACAAUUUAAAUCCCUUAACGAGGAACAAUUGGAGGGCAAGUCUGGUGCCAGCAGCCGCGGUAAUUCCAGCUCCAAUAGCGUAUAUUAAAGUUGUUGUGGUUAAAAAGCUCGUAGUUGAACCUUGGGCCUGGCUGGCCGGUCCGCCUCACCGCGUGUACUGGUCCGGCCGGGUCUUUCCCUCUGUGGAACCCCAUGCCCUUCACUGGGUGUGGCGGGGAACCAGGACUUUUAC
rnacentral:rRNA from 1 species